rnacentral:rRNA from 1 species
AUGACCUUCUCCACCUUAUUCUCGUACUGCCCUGAUCCAGAGGUCUCUAUUGCGGAGUUGGAUGCGAAUGGGUGGGACCUGGCCUUUCGCCGUUCCCUUUCGCCUGAAGAGUUCGAAGAUUGGCAACGCCUUACUGCCUUCUUCCCCACGCUCUCGACGGAACUGGAUUCAGUGAUCUGGCCCCACACCGCCUCUGGUCGCUUCUCAGUGAAAUCCCUUUAUGCUAAGCUUAUUGGUGGCACUCCUACUAACAAAUUCUCUCAAAUCUGGAAGGCCCAAAUCCCCCCUAAAGUGAAAAUCUUCUUAUGGCAAGCCUUCAGGGGCCGGCUGCCUUCGGCUGACCAAAUUCGUAAGAGAAAUGGUCCGGGAUCUCAGUUCUGUGCCCUGUGUGGUGACUUAGAGGACACGACUCAUAUCUUCUUCCAUUGUGUCCUAGCCAAGCUUAUUUGGAGUUGCGUCACAGAGUGGCUUCAUGUAGCCUGGGAUCCUGUUUCGUUCUCAGAGCUCCGAACCCUUGCUAGUAAUUUGUCGGGUGUAACCAGACGUAUCUUUUGGGUGGGCUUGGGAGCAAUCUGUUGGUCUCUCUGGACGACUAGGAACAAAUUUACUAUUGAGCAUGUGUUUCUGGCUAAACCUGCUGAUUGCUUAUUUAAAUCGUGUGCUCUAUUGCAGCAGUGGAAAACAUUGACUAAGGUGGACGACCAAGAUGCGUUGUUUGAGCUGAUCUCCAAAAUUCGGGCCUCGACGUCUAAUCUUUGCAGACAGGAGCAGGAUGCUUAG